GUCUGUGUGUGGGGGACAGUGAGGGUUGUGUAUAUAGUGUGUGUGAGGGGGACAGUGAGGGUUGUGUAUAUAGUGUGUGUGAGGGGGGCAGUGAGAGUUGUGUAUAUAGUGUGUGUGAGGGGGACAGUGAGGGUUGUGUAUAUAGUGUGUGUGAGGGUGGCAGUGAGAGUUGUGUAUAUAGUGUGUGUGAGGGGGCAGUGAGUUGUGUAUAUAGUGUGUGUGAGGGGGGCAGUGAGUUGUGUAUAUAGUGUGUGUGAGGGGGGCAGUGAGUUGUGUAUAUAGUGUGUGUGAGGGGGGCAGUGAGUUGUGUAUAUAGUGUGUGUGAGGGGGCAGUGAGUUGUGUAUAUAGUGUGUGUG